rnacentral:lncRNA from 1 species
AUUUAACUUUAUACCUAUUUGUGUUCCUAUUUUUUAUUGAUUUCUAUCUAUUUCUCGCUUGCUUCCUCUUUUUCAAUUUAUAUAUGUGGUUUUUUAUGUGGCUAUGAUCAUCAUCAAGGCACUCGAAGAGCAAGAGGAAGAAGACUUCUCUUUGGCGCGAGCGCUUCCACUACUAGCGUGUCAAUUCGAGGGAGGGGCA